rnacentral:piRNA from 1 species
UGGAAGAGGCUUGUAACCUGAACUUC